rnacentral:rRNA from 1 species
UACGUAGGCGGAUCAGAAAGUAGGGGGUGAAAUCCCAGGGCUCAACCCUGGAACUGCCUCCUAAACUCCUGGUCUUGAGUUCGAGAGAGGUGAGUGGAAUUCCAAGUGUAGAGGUGAAAUUCGUAGAUAUUUGGAGGAACACCAGUGGCGAAGGCGGCUCACUGGCUCGAUACUGACGCUGAGGUACGAAAGUGUGGGUAGCAAACAGGAUUAGAUACCCUGGUAGUCC